rnacentral:rRNA from 1 species
GGGUUGUGAGGUUAAGCGACUAAGCGUACACGGUGGAUGCCCUGGCAGUCAGAGGCGAUGAAGGGCGUGCUAAUCUGCGAUAAGCGCCGGUAAGGUGAUAUGAACCGUUAUAACCGGCGAUACCCGAAUGGGGAAACCCAGUGUGACUCGUCACACUAUCAUUAACUGAAUCCAUAGGUUAAUGAGGCGAACCGGGGGAACUGAAACAUCUAAGUACCCCGAGGAAAAGAAAUCAACCGAGAUUCCCCCAGUAGCGGCGAGCGAACGGGGAGGAGCCCAGAGCCUGAAUCAGCAUGUGUGUUAGUGGAAGCGUCUGGAAAGGCGCGCGAUACAGGGUGACAGCCCCGUACACAAAAGCGCAUGUGUUGUGAGCUCGAUGAGUAGGGCGGGACACGUGGUAUCCUGUCUGAAUAUGGGGGGACCAUCCUCCAAGGCUAAAUACUCCUGACUGACCGAUAGUGAACCAGUACCGUGAGGGAAAGGCGAAAAGAACCCCGGCGAGGGGAGUGAAAAAGAACCUGAAACCGUGUACGUACAAGCAGUGGGAGCACAGGUUUACCUGUGUGACUGCGUACCUUUUGUAUAAUGGGUCAGCGACUUAUAUUCUGUAGCAAGGUUAACCGAAUAGGGGAGCCGGAGGGAAACCGAGUCUUAAUUGGGCGUUAAGUUGCAGGGUAUAGACCCGAAACCCGGUGAUCUAGCCAUGGGCAGGUUGAAGGUUGGGUAACACUAACUGGAGGACCGAACCGACUAAUGUUGAAAAAUUAGCGGAUGACCUGUGGCUGGGGGUGAAAGGCCAAUCAAACCGGGAGAUAGCUGGUUCUCCCCGAAAGCUAUUUAGGUAGCGCCUCGUGAAUUCAUCUCCGGGGGUAGAGCACUGUUUCGGCUAGGGGGCCAUCCCGGCUUACCAACCCGAUGCAAACUGCGAAUACCGGAGAAUGUUAUCACGGGAGACACACGGCGGGUGCUAACGUCCGUCGUGAAGAGGGAAACAACCCAGACCGCCAGCUAAGGUCCCAAAGUCAUGGUUAAGUGGGAAACGAUGUGGGAAGGCCCAGACAGCCAGGAUGUUGGCUUAGAAGCAGCCAUCAUUUAAAGAAAGCGUAAUAGCUCACUGGUCGAGUCGGCCUGCGCGGAAGAUGUAACGGGGCUAAACCAUGCACCGAAGCUGCGGCAGCGACACUCAGGUGUUGUUGGGUAGGGGAGCGUUCUGUAAGCCUGCGAAGGUGGCCUGUGAGGGUUGCUGGAGGUAUCAGAAGUGCGAAUGCUGACAUAAGUAACGAUAAAGCGGGUGAAAAGCCCGCUCGCCGGAAGACCAAGGGUUCCUGUCCAACGUUAAUCGGGGCAGGGU